UUUUUUUAUUUUUAGGGUUUUCUAUGUUUGCGUUGCUAACUUUCUUCAAAUGAGGCCAAACUUCGUGAUCUAGCUUAACUAUUCCCAAUAUUUGAUCCUGCUAAGUAUCAUAGCUAGUAGGGACGUUUAUCUUUAUCAAACAAUAAUCAAACACCUUAUGGCCACUUCUAAAAGUCAUUGUUUUCCCAUCUUAAGUUGUUCUCCAUGCC
rnacentral:lncRNA from 1 species